AUCCUGGUUUGCUUUCUACUGCUAGGAUAAACAUCAUGACCUAAAGCCACUUAGAGGGAAAAGGUUUAUUUAACCAACUCUUCCAGGAUAUUCAUAAGCAGAUUCUCUUUGGGGAAUAACCCAGAUGUUGUUUCCAUCUUAUUCCUGUUUCCACAUCUCAGCCUUGGUACUCUGCCAAUAUGUGCCUGCCAGUCUUGGCUGAGGACUCUGCACCUCAACCUGCUCAAAGGUGGCUGUUGGUCAUGGUGUUUAUAACGGCAACAGGCAGGAAACUGGAACAACUCCUCCACCAGAGGAAAGAGCAAGCACUAGAUGUUUGCCCUCUCCUGUCAUGGAACACCUCUGCAGAGAAGGAACACAGGUGCCACAGGGACUCAACCGUCUGCGCUAUCACAGCCACUGUCCUGAGCAAAUAAACUGAACUAAGAAAGUGAGUGAAAGUUGCAGAACAUUUCGGAAUACUUCACACCUGAGAAGACAAUGACAUGGAAAAAAUUAAACCUAAAGAAGAAGAAGUAAACAGUGGAUAAGCAAAGCCUUUAACCAUUCACUUCCCGUCUCUCAUCAAUUCCACUUGGUCUGUCUACUUUAGUCAAAGACAACUGAUUUGAAAUCCCAUCCUUUGUUUGUUCAGUGCAAAGCAUGGCAGACUAAUACAAAGAAGACUCAGCUUCACUUGGAAUCUAGAGAACAUUGCACCAACUUGAGGGGAAGCUGACAGGUGACGAAUUAUUCUGAA